GACGAACGCUGGCGGCGUGCUUAACACAUGCAAGUCGAACGGAAAGGCCCUGCUUUUGUGGGGUGCUCGAGUGGCGAACGGGUGAGUAACACGUGAGUAACCUGCCCUUGACUUUGGGAUAACUUCAGGAAACUGGGGCUAAUACCGGAUAGGAGCUCCUGCUGCAUGGUGGGGGUUGGAAAGUUUCGGCGGUUGGGGAUGGACUCGCGGCUUAUCAGCUUGUUGGUGGGGUAGUGGCUUACCAAGGCUUUGACGGGUAGCCGGCCUGAGAGGGUGACCGGCCACAUUGGGACGGAGAUACGGCCCAGACUCCUACGGGAUGCAGCAGUGGGGAAUAGUGCACAAUGGGCGGAAGCCUGAUGCAGCAACGCCGCGUGCGGGAUGACGGCCUUCGGGUUGUAAACCGCUUUCGCCUGUGACGAAGCGUGAGUGACGGUAAUGGGUAAAGAAGCACCGGCUAACUACGUG
rnacentral:rRNA from 1 species